rnacentral:rRNA from 1 species
UUUAUGGAGAGUUUGAUCCUGGCUCAGGAUGAACGCUGGCGGCGUGCCUAAUACAUGCAAGUCGAGCGAACGGAUGAGAAGCUUGCUUCUCUGAUGUUAGCGGCGGACGGGUGAGUAACACGUGGAUAACCUACCUAUAAGACUGGGAUAACUUCGGGAAACCGGAGCUAAUACCGGAUAAUAUUUUGAACCGCAUGGUUCAAAAGUGAAAGACGGUCUUGCUGUCACUUAUAGAUGGAUCCGCGCUGCAUUAGCUAGUUGGUAAGGUAACGGCUUACCAAGGCAACGAUGCAUAGCCGACCUGAGAGGGUGAUCGGCCACACUGGAACUGAGACACGGUCCAGACUCCUACGGGAGGCAGCAGUAGGGAAUCUUCCGCAAUGGGCGAAAGCCUGACGGAGCAACGCCGCGUGAGUGAUGAAGGUCUUCGGAUCGUAAAACUCUGUUAUUAGGGAAGAACAUAUGUGUAAGUAACUGUGCACAUCUUGACGGUACCUAAUCAGAAAGCCACGGCUAACUACGUGCCAGCAGCCGCGGUAAUACGUAGGUGGCAAGCGUUAUCCGGAAUUAUUGGGCGUAAAGCGCGCGUAGGCGGUUUUUUAAGUCUGAUGUGAAAGCCCACGGCUCAACCGUGGAGGGUCAUUGGAAACUGGAAAACUUGAGUGCAGAAGAGGAAAGUGGAAUUCCAUGUGUAGCGGUGAAAUGCGCAGAGAUAUGGAGGAACACCAGUGGCGAAGGCGACUUUCUGGUCUGUAACUGACGCUGAUGUGCGAAAGCGUGGGGAUCAAACAGGAUUAGAUACCCUGGUAGUCCACGCCGUAAACGAUGAGUGCUAAGUGUUAGGGGGUUUCCGCCCCUUAGUGCUGCAGCUAACGCAUUAAGCACUCCGCCUGGGGAGUACGACCGCAAGGUUGAAACUCAAAGGAAUUGACGGGGACCCGCACAAGCGGUGGAGCAUGUGGUUUAAUUCGAAGCAACGCGAAGAACCUUACCAAAUCUUGACAUCCUUUGACAACUCUAGAGAUAGAGCCUUCCCCUUCGGGGGACAAAGUGACAGGUG